rnacentral:lncRNA from 1 species
GUUGAAGGGACUGUGCUUCACGCGUGGAAAUGACGUUUUAGCAUACCACUGAGCUGAAAUAGCCCCUACUACAGCACUGUCAAGCAGAAAGUGUGUGACUGAAUUCACUAAUCAACAUGCAAAGCUUUACAUGAAAAUUGCUUCUGGCUGUGAUUUCAUAAGUGGUUAGUGUCCCUGAGCUUCAUCCACCAUCAAUGCAAACAGCUCGGCUCUUCCGUGGGCAAUUCAGAGCACCUGUCUGCUCUGGGUGAAGGACCCAGGAGUGCCUCUCAGCCCGGGGACCUGGGGCUGGAGUACCUCACUCAGCUGCUCAGAGUCACUGAGA